CCCAGCCCAGCUCCGCUCUGCUGUCUGUUGUGGCACAGCAAAGCCCAGCACGUUCCAGUUUGGCACGGCACAGCUCGGUGUGUACCCCCAGCCCGGGCAGGGCAGGGGGACACACAGGGAGGGCACACGGAGCAUCAGGAGGCGCCGGGGGACCCUCUGUGCCCCCAGCCCGGCCGUGCCCACGCUGUCCCAGCACGGGGACACUCCCGCCACCGCUGCUCUCCGGCCCCGAGCGAGGGCCACACAAGGGGCCGCUUUCUGCGGGAACAAGGGCACUCUGUGCACGGCCCUCGGUGCCACCCGGCUCCACCGUCCCGGGUCACCCGCCCCGUCACACGGCUCUGCUGCCCCGGGGCCACCGCUCUCUCCUGCCUCACUGGCGCUUUGUUCUCGCGGCUCAGGGAGCGAACGGCUCUGGGACAAACACAACAGACCCCCCUCCCCAAAAAGAAACCCAGAGAAACCCAACCUUGGAGCAGCCGCUGGAGAUUCACCCAGCUACGGACAGAGGACCAGAAAUACGCUGUGUGCAAAAAAAACCCCAAAAACCCAACCGAAAACCCCAAGACUCAUCUUUCGCUUACCUUGCGCUUCUCGCCCUGCCGGGACACGUGGCGGGGCCGCCACCGCGGGGCAGAGCCGGCCUCAUCCCGGCAGCAGUGCCGGCAAAAAAAGGGGGAUAUUCUGGUUGCUUUCUCUUUUGUUUUUGGUAAAAGUGGGGCACGCGCUCACAUCUGGGGCUCUGCGCUGCCUGGGAACGGCACGUUCUCGGUAGAAGAGGAAACCCCAAGCGCGGGAAGCUGCGCUGAGCACCGGGGCUGUCGCCACGCCCGAGAGGGGCACCCGAGGGGUACCGGGGGAUGGGGCAGCCGGGAAGGGCAGCGGAGCCCCGGAUCCGGUGUGGGACACCCGGGUGGGCGAUGCUGGGGUGGCUGCUGGCGGCGCUGGCGGCGCUGGCGCAGGGCGGUAAGUGCUCCUGCGGUGCUGGGAGAUGAGAGAUAA
rnacentral:lncRNA from 1 species